ensembl:lncRNA
AUGGAGAAACCACCAGAUCAGGAACAGUUUCAACCUGCUUCGUUGCGUAUAUUGGUAUGCAAGUACCUUUCUGAGUUACAAAAAGUAACAAACCUCCAAUCUCCUGUCCUCGUCCCUCAUGUCCUCUCUGGUGAGGAUAAGGAUGCCCCAUCCGCCAACCUCUGUACUCUUUCUAAUGACUCUGAAGGCACAGCAUGCUUUCCAAGUUACCCUCUACCUGUCAUAUCACUUUCACCCUCUCCAAAUUGUGAUCAUCCAUUUUCUGCCUUGGAUGCCAUAUCUUCUGCCCAGUCUAACUUGAGUCCAGGGAACACAAGGCUAGAAUGGGCUGAGGUUGCUUCUCAUGAAUACACCAUCUCUGCCUCCUCACGUUUAUCACCUGAUACCACUCCUGAUUUUCAUUAUCCAUCCUCUUCACCAUCUCCCCCACUAUUUCAGUCCCUCUCAUGGAAUACAGAAAACCAUAAAAAAGAGUCACUUAUUUCCAUAUGCCUCUCUGAUCCACCUGCCAAUACACAGGAGAAAGAGGACAAGGGCAAUCCCUUAUCUCCAUCCUGUCACUCUAAAUUUAAAAGUGAGUGUACUGCACUGCCUUGCCUGUCACAUAACUCUUCCAAUCCAAUUUGUCAGUCUGAUUUGUCAUCACAGUCUCAGGAUCCACAUGAUCUUAUAGAUAUAGCCGUUGAAAGAAUUUCAGACCUAACAGAGCAAUCCAUCCCCCAGCAAAACAGAUCAUGUCCUCUUGAUGAUUACAGAGACCCUGCUCCAGACUCACCUGUCCAAGAUGAUAUUCAUGUUAAAAUGGAUCACCUCUCAUUGGAAUCAAAGGAUACCAUUCAGAUGAAUGGAAACGAAAUGGUGGGGGGUGACAGACAUACUGACACUUUGCAGACUCAAAAUGCUCUCGUAUAUAACUCAGAUAGGGAGCCUUCUGCGGGUCUGUCAGAAGGUUCUUGUUCAGUGUCUAAAGAAGUAUGUAACCAAAAAGAAAUAGAUCCACAGGUCCACUCCUGUAGUUUGCAUGAAGUUUUAACUAAAGCUAAAUUGGAAGAGCUAAGAAAAGUCUUUCAAUUGGGAAAUAAUGGGACAGAAAGUGAAUCACUUAGAGGUGCUUUAGCUGUCCAUGAUGACGUUCUAGAGGCACAGAGCAUAACUAAUGUUAAACCAAAUGACCUGAUUGAGAUUGACAGUUUACAUCUGGUAUUUCAAACUUCAGUGGAUGGCUCUGAAGGUGAAAAUGGAGAUCUAGAUGUCAUUUUUCAGCAGCUCGACACUGAAGGGAGAGUCUACUGGGCAGAACCAAUCAAUAUUUCCAGUACAACUCCUGUGCUUGAAGAGUCAUACAGCUUUGAAACUUCAGUUGGCCCUCCUGAAAAUCCACAGUGGCCAAGAGGACCAGAAACUCAAGAUUCAUUUUCAUCCACAGGCAGAGCCUGUCUCCUGUCUCCUAUGCCUUUCUCUUAUUCAUCCUUAUCAACAGUUGACACUGAACAAACCUCAAGAAGUGGAACUUCCUCCUCAGAUACACCCCCCUCCUUCAUUCUAGCCCCCUUUGAAAUCCCAGACCACAAGCCAUCAGGCUGCUCUGUUUCUGUUCAGAUGUCUUCAUCUCCAUCUUCUCAUAUUGUCCAUAGGAAGGAUAUUCCCUAUAUGAGUGAAUCAAAACGCAAUCUUCUUCAUAGUGUUCUACCUUUAGACAAUUCAACCCCUUUCCGUGCUGUCCAGUCAUGGACAGAUCUGCAGAUUCAACGAAACACUGUCACCAAGAAGUUAUCACACUGGGGUCAUCAUACAGCCCCAAACAAAUUUGCUGCAUCCACGGCUGCCUCAGAAACAAUUCGAAGACCUACGUUGAUUUUCUCUUCAUCUUCGUCUUUCCCUCUGCUGUCUUAUGAUGAGCAGUCACAUGACUGUCUCCCUGGGAUGGCUAGAAAUUACAAUGCUAUGUCAAUCUCUGUGGAUAAAGAGCUGUGGCCUGGUGAAGAGGAGGUAGACAGGAGUGAAAAUGAAGACAAGGAGAAGCUUUGGGAAGGCAACCAAGUACCCACCAUGGCAUGCUACUGCACCUGUGACCAUCAGUGUACCUGCUGUACUCAGAAGAGUUACAACAAGCAACACACUCUGGGAAACAUUGCUUACUCUCUGGACGAGUUGGAGGAGAUGAUGCUGUGUCUGCAACAGUUUUUCUCUGUGCUCAGCAACAUGGAGGAGCAGCUCUCUAAAGACCAGUCUGCAGUUUACAGUGUUCUCUCUGACCAGGACAGGGAGAAGGUUCGGGACAUAGAGGAGCUGAGGCGGGCAGUGAAAAAGGAGGCUGCAAAGCUGGAGAUACAGUUGAAUGAACUGUCCCAUCACUAUGAUGAUAGCUUGAAAAUGAAGAUGCACAGACUCUUGGAUGAGCAGUCUCAGCUCUGCUCUCAACUCAGAGUCUUUCUACCUGGAACGGUGCCCGAAAAUAAGACAGUCGCCACUCAGUGCUGUCUGCUGCCCUGGACUACAACGGCUGAUGUGCAGAAUGGCCACGCUUCCUAUUUAACCUGGAACAUGGACUAUGCCAGACAGUCACCUCCUGAAUCAGAGAGCACCUUCAAAGGCAUCAGCUGUUCCCCCACUAAGGCAGACAAGCUAGACAUAGUGGGCAUCCUCCAGAGAAAAACCCCAGUUAUUCUCCGCCCUGUUUCCCUGCCAGCCAACCUUCCUGCGCUCCUUCAUACCGGCUCUCGGAGACCAUGCCUGCCUGCCUGCCCACCUGCCAGCCUACCGGUCUGGAUAUCACACCCGCUUUACACCUGA